rnacentral:rRNA from 1 species
GAUGAACGCUAGCUACAGGCUUAACACAUGCAAGUCGAGGGGAAACGGCAUUGAGUGCUUGCACUCUUUGGACGUCGACCGGCGCACGGGUGAGUAACGCGUAUCCAACCUUCCCAUUACUGUGGGAUAACCUGCCGAAAGGCAGACUAAUACCGCAUAGUCUUCGAUGACGGCAUCAGAUUUGAAGUAAAGAUUUAUCGGUAAUGGAUGGGGAUGCGUCUGAUUAGCUUGUUGGCGGGGUAACGGCCCACCAAGGCAACGAUCAGUAGGGGUUCUGAGAGGAAGGUCCCCCACAUUGGAACUGAGACACGGUCCAAACUCCUACGGGAGGCAGCAGUGAGGAAUAUUGGUCAAUGGACGGAAGUCUGAACCAGCCAAGUAGCGUGCAGGAUGACGGCCCUAUGGGUUGUAAACUGCUUUUGUAUGGGGAUAAAGUUAGGGACGUGUCCCUAUUUGCAUGUACCAUACGAAUAAGACCGG